UACGGAGGAUGCGAGCGUUAUCCGGAUUCAUUGGGUUUAAAGGGUGCGCAGGCGGCGGCGUAAGUCAGCGGUGAAAUCCCGGGGCCCAACCCCGGAAGUGCCGAUGAUACUGCGUCGCUGGAAUGCGGUCGAUGCGGGCGGAACGUGGCGUGUAGCGGUGAAAUGCGUAGAUAUGCCACAGAACGCCGGUAGCGGAGGCGGCUCGCCAGGCCUGCAUUGACGCUCGGGCACGAAAGCGUGGGGAUCGGAC
rnacentral:rRNA from 1 species